GCCUCCUUAGCACAAUUGGUAGUUGCACUUCACUUGUAAUGAAGAUGUUGUCAGUUCGAGUCUGACAGGAGGCU
rnacentral:tRNA from 1 species